rnacentral:rRNA from 1 species
CCCGCUCAGAAACUUAAAGGAAUUGACGGGGGCCCGGCACAAGCGGUGGAGCAUGUGGUUUAAUUCGAUGAUACGCGAGGAACCUUACCUGGGCUCAAAUGUAUGUUGACGUAUUCUGAAAGGGAUACUUCUUCGGACAAUAUACAAGGUGCUGCAUGGUUGUCGUCAGCUCGUGCCGUGAGGUGUCGGGUUAAGUCCCAUAACGAGCGCAACCCCUAUCAUUAGUUGCCAUCAGGUCAAGCUGGGGACUCUAAUGAAACUGCCUACGCAAGUAGUGAGGAAGGUGGGGAUGACGUCAAAUCAGCACGGCCCUUAUGUCCUGGGCUACACACGUGCUACAAUGGCCGGUACAGAGUGAAGCGAAACCGCGAGGUGAAGCAAAACGCAGAAAGCCGGUCUCAGUACGGAUUGGAGUCUGAAACUCGACUUCAUGAAGUUGGAAUCGCUAGUAAUCGCGCAUCAGCCAUGGCGCGGUGAAUACGUUCCCGGGCCUU